rfam:Neotoma lepida isolate 417 scaffold_16379, whole genome shotgun sequence.
GUAUCAGUGAUGAGAACAAUCGUCUGAGGAUAAUGAGUGACUCAUGCCAAUAGGAAUAUGGGGUCC